rnacentral:rRNA from 1 species
UACGUAGGUGGCAAGCGUUGUCCGGAUUUAUUGGGUUUAAAGGGUGCGUAGGCGGUUCUAUAAGUCAGUGGUGAAAUCCGGCAGCUCAACUGUCGAUGUGCCAUUGAUACUGCAGAACUUGAGUACAGACGAGGUAGGCGGAAUUGACGGUGUAGCGGUGAAAUGCUUAGAUAACGUCAAGAACACCGAUAGCGAAGGCAGCUUACUAGACUGUAACUGACGCUGAUGCACGAAAGUGUGGGGAUCAAACAGG